CAUGCAGUCGAACGGUGACGCAGAGGAGCUUGCUCCUNGUGGAUGAGUGGCGAACGGGUGAGUAACNCGUAGGUAACCUGCCUGGUAGCGGGGGAUAACUAUUGNAAACGAUAGCUAAUACCGCAUAAAAUGGAUUAUCGCAUGAUAAUUCAUUGAAAGGUGCAAAUGCAUCACUACCAGAUGGACCUGCGUUGUAUUAGCUAGUUGGUGGGGUAACGGCUCACCAAGGCGACGAUACAUAGCCGACCUGAGAGGGUGAUCGGCCACACUGGGACUGAGACACGGCCCAGACUCCUACGGGAGGCAGCAGUAGGGAAUCUUCGGCAAUGGACGGAAGUCUGACCGAGCAACGCCGCGUGAGUGAAGAAGGUUUUCGGAUCGUAAAGCUCUGUUGUAAGAGAAGAACGAGUGUGAGAGUGGAAAGUUCACACUGUGACGGUAUCUUACCAGAAAGGGACGGCUAACUACGCGCCAGCAGCCGCGGUAAUACGUAGGUCCCGAGCGUUGUCCGGAUUUAUUGGGCGUAAAGCGAGCGCAGGCGGUUAGAUAAGUCUGAAGUUAAAGGCUGUGGCUUAACCAUAGUACGCUUUGGAAACUGUUUAACUUGAGUGCAAAGAGGGGAGAGUGGAAUUCCAUGUGUAGCGGUUGAAAAUGCGUAGAUAUAUGGAGGAAACACCCGGUGGCGGAAAGCGGGCUCUCUGGCUUGUAACUGACACUGAGGCUCGAAAGCGUGGGGGAGCAANCAGGAAUUANAUACCCCUGGUACUCC
rnacentral:rRNA from 1 species